AGCUCUUGUUGAGGGUUAUCUAGAACUAAUGGGCAACCGAACUUUAAGGCAUUGGUUCAAAAUGAUCUUCUUGCGCUAAAUCCAAACCAUUUGAGGCCAUUUCACAAAUCGGUGGAGAUCCUUCUUCGGCGGCAACGCUCCACCAAUUUCAAAUUGCUCUGGGAGCUUCCCGAAUAAAGGAUUCACUAUCUUAUCUGCUUUCUUUUUAGCUACUCCCGUCAGCAAUUUUUGUGUUGUACUUUGGAGCCAUCGGACAUCAAAAUAAACUUAAAAAAACCAGAAAACAACGUUCAUAAUGAAAGCACGCUAAUUGAAAAGAAAAGAAGGCCAAAACCAUUAACCAAACCUUCAUCUCCUUCAUCUUCCCUGCUGGCUGCCUUCACAGUGUACACUCUAUCGAUGCUACUGCCUACCAGGGAAGGAAUUCAACGGUUCGAAAAGACCCAACACGGGCAAUCGAGCAAGCUCAUCGGGUGCUGGCUCCAUCCUUGGUGAGUGGUAGUGGUUGCUGGCGUGAUGGUAUGCUAGUUGGAGUAUAUAGGUGUAAAUGUUCAUUUUUAAUUUUGCUAAUCAUUUUUAAUUCUUUUCUCAUUUUU
rnacentral:lncRNA from 1 species